UACGAAGGGUGCAAGCGUUAAUCGGAAUUACUGGGCGUAAAGCGUGCGUAGGCGGUUUCUUAAGUCUGCUGUGAAAUCCCCGGGCUCAACCUGGGAAUGGCAGUGGAUACUGGGAGGCUAGAGUGUGUCAGAGGAUGGUGGAAUUCCCGGUGUAGCGGUGAAAUGCGUAGAGAUCGGGAGGAACACCAGUGGCGAAGGCGGCCUUCUGGACCAAUACUGACGCUCAUGCACGAAAGCGUGGGGAGCAAACAGG
rnacentral:rRNA from 1 species